rnacentral:rRNA from 1 species
CCUACGGGAGGCAGCAGGGAGGAAUAUUGGUCAAUGGGCGCGAGCCUGAACCAGCCAAGUAGCGGGAAGGAUGACUGCCCUACGGGUUGUAAACUUCUUUUAUAAAGGAAUAAAGUGAGGCACGUGGGCCAGUGUGUAUGUACUGUAUGAAUAAGGAUCGGCUAACUCCGUGCCAGCAGCCGCGGUAAUACGGAGGAGCCGAGCGUUAUCCGGAUUUAUUUGGUUUAAAGGGAGCGUAGAUGGGUUGUUAAGUCAGUUGUGAAAGUUUGCGGCUCAACCGUAAAAUUGCAAUUGAUACUGGCAGUCUUUAGUACCGUUGAGGUAGGCUGAAUUCGUGGUGUAGCGGU